GAUGAAGAACGUAGCGAAAUGCGAUAAGUAGUGUGAAUUGCAGAAUUCAGUGAAUCAUCGAAUCUUUGAACGCACAUUGCGCCCCUUGGUAUUCCAUGGGGCAUGCCUGUUCGAGCGUCAUUUGAACCCUCAAGCUCUGCUUGGUGUUGGGUGUUUGUCCCGCCAUUGCGCGUGGACUCGCCUUAAAGCAAUUGGCAGCCAUGUAUCCGGCUUUGAGCGCAGCACAUUGCGUACUCUCUACUGGGACAUGGGCAUCCAGAAGCCUUAUUUUUUUUUACUCUUGACCUCGGAUCAGGUAGGGAUACCCGCUGAACUUAAGCAUAUCAAUAAGCGGAGGA
rnacentral:misc_RNA from 1 species